rnacentral:misc_RNA from 1 species
CAAAGAUUCUGUUAAAAUUCUCAUAGUUUUAACAGCGGUUUAUUAUUGUCACUAACCCGUGUGUAUGUAUUCUAUCUAUCGACAAAAACAAAAAAAUUAAAAUGAAUUGUCACAGCAACUCAUAAUCUCAGACAUACAAAAACUUUAUUUAUCGAAAAAAACGUUUACACAUAGAAAAACAAAGAGAGAGAAAAGCAUAACCAGAUACGUUUAUACAUGAUAGAAUGAUUGUGCUAAAUUUGCCCCCACAUCGUGCGAUCCAUCUGAGACUGUAUCUUCAUUUCAUGUGGCAACAAUUUUGCAUCUUCUUAUUUAUUCUUCAUCUACCUGACAAGCUGUUUCCAUGUCACAAGUGACCCCAUCCCACCAGCAACAAUCUGUGCCUUCUUUCCAAGAAUCUGUGAGGCAAGGAGAAUACCAGGGCAUGAUCAAGGUUUUCUUGAAUUGGAGCAAGGCAACACUCUGGUCAUGUUGGCAAAGCAUUGGUGAAGAGGAGGAAUUGGAGGAAAAAGAUAAAGAAGAAAAAGCUUGGAAAUGCAAGUGAAACAAAAGG